rnacentral:rRNA from 1 species
CCUACGGGUGGCAGCAGUGAGGAAUAUUGGUCAAUGGCCGGAAGGCUGAACCAGCCAUGCCGCGUGAAGGUCAGUGCCCUAUGGGCGUUAAACUUCUUUUGUGCGGGAGCAAUAAUGGUCACGUGUGGCCAGACGAGAGUACCGUACGAAUAAGCAUCGGCUAACUCAGUGCCAGCAGCCGCGGUAAUACGGGGGAUGCAAGCGUUGUCCGGAUUUAUUGGGUUUAAAGGGUGCGUAAGCUGUGAGGUAAAUCAGCGUGGAAAUGCCCACGCUUAACGGGGUGAAGUGCCAUUGAGACUGUCGUGCUGGAAGGCGGAUGCCGUGAGAGGAAUGUGUGGUGUAGCGGUGAAAUGCAUAGAUAUCACACAGAACACCGAUUGCGAAGGCAUCUCACGAAUCCGCGAUUGACGUUGAUGCACGAAAGCGUGGGUAUCAAACAGGAUUAGAUACCCUAGUAGUC